rfam:Populus trichocarpa scaffold_4_contig_351, whole genome shotgun sequence.
UCUAGAACUCAAGAUAUGGGCUGAACACCAAAUAGUGUCUGAGCUACAUGACAAAUUCAGACUUCUUUUUUGUUACUAAGAUUUGAAGUUGAAAACGACAGUUUUGAAUCUUGGACUCUACAUGAAUAUUUUAGGUCUAUAUCUCAGCUUUCCAUC